rnacentral:lncRNA from 1 species
ACUCACAAUUGUGAGGUUGUGGUUUUGAUUCCCAGUCCAGAUGCUGCGUUGUGUUCUUGAGCAAAGCACUUCAUUUCACAUUUCUCUGUGAUCAUUUUGACAUCUGACAUGUAGUUGCCCCUGUACGAGGAAUGUCAAUUUGAUGGAGAGAAUGAGCUUAUGUGUACACAAAUAUUUGACCACUAUGAACAAAUCACCUGUGUUCAGUAAGAAAUUGUCAAACCCUCAUGUCAUCUAAAGAGAAGAGAGUCCAUUCUAUAUAUAUAUGUGUGUGUGUCCCCUCAUCACUGCUUGACAAAUGAUGUUGGUUAUGUCCCUGUGGUUUGGCAAAAGAGACUGUUAGAAUAAGUACCAGGCUUGAAAGAAAAUAAAUCCUUCGGUCAAUUUGUCUGACUAGAAUUCAUCAAAGGCACUGCCCUUGCAUGGCCACUGUCUAAUAACUAAAACAGGUAAAAAGACAUACACUACUACCAUCAUCAUCAUCAUCAUCUGUCUCUUUUACAUGGGUUGGACAGUUUGAUUAGAGCUGCACUUGGCUCGACUUUGAUUUGGCAUGGUUUCUAUGGCUUGAUAUCUUUCCUAAUGCUAACCACUUUACAGAGUGUGGGCUGGGUGCUUUUGCAUAAACACCACUUAAGCGCUCUUAUGUAGCACUGGAAUGAUGCCUUUUAUGCUGGGCCAACACACAACUCUUGCAGGCCAAUCCUUUUGACAUGUGCCGGGUGGGGGUGGGGUGGGGGGUGACCUUACCACUUCUGCUAUGUAGUGCGAGUCUUCUUGAAUACAGCAGCAAGGUGUCAGGUAUCUCAGUCCUUUGUCAUCUCAACUGAAAGGUGCAGCUUCUUGAGGUCGUCUUUCAGUACUUCAUCCCAUGUCUUCCUGCGUCUCCCUCUUCCAUGUGUUCCAUCUACUUUCUUAUGGCACUGUCAGCAUCCAUGACCAAACCAGUGCAGCCUUUUUUCUUGCACAUUGCAUCUAAUUUCUCUUAUGCCUAACUUCUCUCUCAAUACACUAUCACUCUGUCAAACAUGUGCACUUACAUUACACAUCCAACAAAGUAUACUAGCCUCAUUCCCCUCUAAACUUUGCAUGUUCUCUGCAUCCAAAGCCCACACCUCACUACCAUGUAGAAGUGCUGUCUGUAUGCGUGCAUCAUACAAUCACUUGCUCAGAUUAAAUGGUUUGACAGGAUGUGACAAGCUGGAGGACUGCACCAAUGUUGUGCACUUUGAUGAGGAUUCUAGUGUCUGCUGUCUUUCUUAAUGCCAAACACUUUAUAGAACUUAUUGGGUGCUUUCUUCUUUGCACCAUCACUACUGUUGGUUUUUCUUGUAUCUUGCCAGGCUAAGGGAAUAUAUAAUCACUGUCACACACACGCACAUUGUGUGAAUAUUGAUUGGGAACUAGGAAAAGAAGAUAAUAGAGAGACUGAACCUUAGAAAAUACCUACUUAUGUUCAUUAUAAAACAUGCUGCUGCCCAGUUACAAUGCCCUUGCACAUGGUCUGAAACACUUACCUAUGUUUAGUUCAGGAUUUCUUGGACAAAAGAUUUCUAAAAACAAAGAAAACACGAUAGAGUUGUUUGUUUUUUGCCAGAUAUUUCUCUUACAAUUAUUUCUUCAUGUCCUCUGAACAAUUCAAACUGUCUUUCACCAAACCCACUGUAGCCUUCAAAAAUUUCAUUCUUUCUGUCAAGUUUAUAAAUUGAUUUGUUAGCCAAUGUAAAUUUUUUGAUAUGUAAUGUAUAUUUUAUUUUUGUAGGUGUCUUGCUAUUGGGAUCCUUGAACUUCCAUGGCACAGUGUCCAGUUAAACAUUUACUGGCAAAACACAAAUAUUUCUCUCUAAUUUUGAAUGAAGUUGCACAUUCUUGCAUGCAGAAGUUUGGUUGGGAAGGGUGAAGCCGAGCCAAGCCAUCUGGGUGUAUUUCGGCUACAAUACUUUCUUAUUUGUUUACAUCAUAAUAUUAAUAUGUUAGUAUUUUCUUAUAAAGAUUCUGAUCAUUCUUUCAAUUGAAAGCAGACUUGUUAUACUGAGAGGAAUGGCAGCCACAGUGUGGGGGAGAGAAAUUUUAGUGGUGGCGGUUAGAGAAGAGAAAAAUGUUAGUGAAUUACCACACACACACAUUUACUGAGAACUAUAGUAGUUUUUUGUAAUAGUAAUGGUUGGUAUGUUAGUUAGAGAAGAUGGGCAUGGUAGUUUUAGUAACAGUAAGGAAGUGAGGGAAAAGAGUUAAUUUUCUUUUUGUAUUGUUGGACUAACAUCAUAUUUAAAAAAAUUCUGUGAUUUAAUGUAUGUUCUUUAGAGUAGAAAACUGAAUCUGGACAUUCUCUCCCAAAAGUUCAACAUUCAAAAAGUGUCUGUUAGGUUUCUAUUAUAGGUGCAUCUGUGACUGUGUGGUAAGAAGCUUGCUUCCUAACCACAUGGUGCUGGUUCAGUCCCACUGCAGAUGAUCUUGGGCAGGUGUCUUUUACUAUUGUCUCAGGCCUUGUGAGCGGACUUGCUUGAGUGAAACAAGCCCAUCAUAUAUAUAUGUGUGUGUGUGUGUGUUUGUGUCUGUUUCUACUCCCACUCCACUUGACAACUGAUGUUGGUGUGUUUACAUCCCUGUAACUUAGAGGUUCAGCAAAAUAUACUGACAGAAUAAGUAAGGGGCUUAAAAAACAUAAGUAUUAGUUGAUUUGUUUGACUAAAAUCUUCCAAGGCAGUGGCCCAGCAUGGCUGCAGUCUAAUGACUGAAACAAGUAAAGAUAAAAGAUAUAGCUUUAAUGAUGUUGCUUUGUUAUUUUUAUUUCAUAGUCCUUUGAUUUGUUGAAUAUCAAAUAUCUUUGCAUUCAGUCUUAAAAUUCAACAUCAAAGGUUUUGCAAUAGGAAAGCGUAAUGAGAAAAGAAAACAGACUGAAGUCAGCUGAAUCAGGCUUAGAGGCGCAGAAAGGAUGCAGUAAUUGAGAGCCAAGCAACAAGAUGAUAUGUAGACCAUGGAAAAAAAAAAAAAAGAGCUCAACAAUGUGAUGUUGUAAAUGAGGAAGAGGGGAAACAACAUGCUCAGAAAGAUCAAAUGAGAAGACAAACAAGAAAUAUUUAUCAAGAAAUAUGACCAAAGAGACAAAAAAUGUGGAAGUUUUCUUGCCAGAAUACUUAGACAAAGUAUAUGGCACAUACUCUGUUCUGUCAGAAUAUAAGAUACACCUGUAAGUACAUGUACGAAGGUUAUGACUAUACUUCUGUAGAGGUAAGAAGUACUGCUAAUACAGAUGGUGAAGCUGUGUCAUGCAAUGAUAAUGUUAAGAUCAAACAUCCCCUCUUCUCCUUUAGAUACAUCUCUUCUCAUACGAAAGUCUGACAGCUUUCUAAGUAGAAAAUCCAUGGGAAAUCUCAACAGUAAAUCAUCUUGCAGCACACUUAUCUAAUGAACAGUAAGUGCAUUGUUGUGUAUAUUCCCCGGUCACAAAACAAUCCAGAGGACAGAAAAAUGAAAGAGAUUUUAUAUGUAUUUUGUAUACACGAAUGUAAUCAAUAAUGAUUAAGAUAAAAUCGUAAUAAGGAAAAAGAAUUGAAAACGAAGCAUAGUUACUCUCCAUCGAUGAGAAAAUCUAACAAGGGAACGAACUCUUGGAUUACCCAAAUACUUCAAAAUCAAACUUAUUUAUAUUGGAAUCCAUUUUAGAGUAAAAAACUUUUAUUCCAGAUAUAGUUGUUGCUAAUAUGGUAACGAAGGCUUUAGGUAGGAUUGUAUUAUUAUUAAUAUGCAGAAAAAGCAUAAUUUAUAAUGUGUUCAAAUAGUUGGUUUGUUGUAGUCGUAUUUACUGAGUAUACAAAAUUCAGGUUAUGGUUCAUAGUUUGGUAAAUAUUUCCAUUCGUUUGCAAAUUUUGGUAAGAGAUUAGUGAGUACAGGUAAAGGGAUAAAUAGCAAAAGUACGCAAGUGACAAAGUGCAGAUUAUUUUUAAUAAUAUUGCACGCUGUUUCGCCUUAAAGCUGUGUUAAUGCUUUUGGUUUCUAUUUACAAAAGAAACAGGCAAUACUUCUGUAUUGGUAGACGGAAUCCUUCACCCGCACAACUUUCCCUCGUGACGUAGGUAAAGAGGCUGAAAAAGAGAGGGAAUGACGAUGUGUUCCCAUAUCGACAUGGAAUACCAAUCGCCCAGAAUAGAACAUUUCAAUGUUAAUUAGGAAUUUUAACAAUUAAAUCUUCGAAUCAAUAAUUUUUAAAGAAUUCUGAAUCUUUUUUUAAUGACAGUGUUAUUUAUCUGAAAUAGAUACAAUCGGUUAUGUGUAAAGCGAGUGGUAAAGUUAUUUUGAAAAUGUUUAUAAUAAAUUUAUUGCUUUCAAUUCUAUAAUUGUGAAGGUUGUUAAUCAUAGUUAAUACAGAGUUGUCUCCCUUGUCUGCACGUGCCCGUGUUGCGUCCGCGCAGUCCGGGAACCGUCAGCUGCAGGUGCGCGGCUAGUUUCCACAAUAGCAUCAUUUCAGUAAUUUCGCCUUCUGUACUGCAAUAAACAAUUUACCAUCUGACCGGUGUAGCGUGGUAGAGAUUGUGUAAGCAAAUGUUGUAUAUCUGUGACAUGAUAAUAUAUUUUCAAUUUACCAUAGCUUACUGGUGUAGCAUUAAGAUUAUAUUUGUGUUUGCGCUUGUAGAAAGGAAUUUGUUUCUAACGACUGGGAGAAAUCAUAAGGGAGUGAGUCGAGGUGCAGUUGCCAUCAACAAGUUGAACACACAGCAUCGUGCGGAUAUCUGCACGUUUGUCGUUUGGGGCCGUCAAAACCCAUUUGUCUAAGAAUGUGGUGAAGCGAGGCCCUAUAGACAUAUUUAUCAAGCUGAGACAUCCAGUUGCUGAAUGCGAUUUUCAAUCAGAUGAUGGCGAUGUAAAUGGCCAUUGCAGAGGCCCCUGCAGCACCUACAACCACAGGGGCCUCUGCAGUUGGGGGUCCCAUGUUAAGAUCAAAGUACAUAGAUGAGUAAUCUAUUUACUUUGGUUAAGAAGUUGACUGAAAAUUUCAAGCCAAAUGAGGUAAAAAGUAUGAGGGUGCACUGUAAAUAAAUCUAAAAGAAAUGAAAAAUGCUUGUCAACGAAUUCCCUCGGGAGAUAAAAGAAAAAACAAAAGAAAUCCCCCAAAACUGAAAAUAUGAACAACUUCAACAGAGAAGACAAGAAAAAGCAGCAGUGGGGAUGAAAGAUCUCAAGUGAUGUUGUUCUGAAAGCAUGAAUCUGGUGCACAAAAUGAGAGCAACUGGCAAACGACAGGAAGCGUAUGGCUGGAAUUAUGGAUCAAUUUAUGCUACCAUAUACAUCAGUGACAUUAUUAUCAUCAAAUAGCAAUGCACCACAGCCCGGAGAAGACGGGCAAGCAAAUAAUGAUGGAAACACCGAACAACAACAAAUGCAAGGAUGCGAUGAAAAUUCACAGCAGGUUUCUACAUUUUCAGCAGCGGAGGGAAAUGCAAAGGACUUAUAUGAUGCAUACUGUCAACAAUCUUUACCUAUUGCUGAAAAUAUGGUUGUGCAACAAGAAGCAGUCACUAUCACUACUGACCCUGCAUCUUGGCUAGAAACUAUAUCUGAUGGCAUGCAUAAUCACAUUAUGAAACUUGGAGCUGUUCAAGUAAAAAGAUACCAAUUUUCUAAAUCAAAAGAAAACCGCAGAUUCAAUCCUGACUUCUUUUCUAAGAUGCUGCUAAAUGGCAAAAACAUAGUUCGAAUGUGGUUUGUAUAUUCAAUUCAGCAUGAUGUGGUAUGUUGUUUCUGUUGCAAUCUGUUCGGUCAUUGUAAAAUGAGACUAACAUCUGAAGGAUUCAGCAGUUGACAAUCUCUGAAGCAAGUCCUUAGAAGAACAUGAGAAAGCAAUGGACCAUAGACAGUACAUGAUGAAAUGGAAGGAGCUUGAAUUUCACCUUAAAACAUAAUCACAAACAUAAUCACGCACACACAUACACACACACACACAUUAAUACCGUUAUAUACAGUCACACACACAGACACUCACUAACAAAAGAAAAUUCACCAUUCAUUUGAACUGCACCCUUUCACCUUCCUAUU